rnacentral:lncRNA from 1 species
CGUAGGUUUCAUCAUGAAGGGUAUUAUCUAUCUCAGCUUCUAGGAUUCUAUCUAGGAUCACUCUAGCUUCAUCAGUAGGGAUACAAAAGAAAGAACCUCUAGACAUUGUAUGUAGCAUUUGUUUGUGAUUUUUCUGAAGACCUCGAAAAAAGUGAAAUAAAAGAAUAGGGUCUUCAAGAUUAAGGUUUGGACCAAAUUCUAAAAGAUCAG